rnacentral:rRNA from 1 species
GACGAACGCUGGCGGCGUGCUUAACACAUGCAAGUCGAACGGAAAGGCCCUGCUUUUGUGGGGUGCUCGAGUGGCGAACGGGUGAGUAACACGUGAGUAACCUGCCCUUGACUUUGGGAUAACUUCAGGAAACUGGGGCUAAUACCGGAUAGGAGCUCCUGCUGCAUGGUGGGGGUUGGAAAGUUUCGGCGGUUGGGGAUGGACUCGCGGCUUAUCAGCUUGUUGGUGGGGUAGUGGCUUACCAAGGCUUUGACGGGUAGCCGGCCUGAGAGGGUGACCGGCCACAUUGGGACUGAGAUACGGCCCAGACUCCUACGGGAGGCAGCAGUGGGGAAUAUUGCACAAUGGGCGGAAGCCGGAUGCAGCAACGCCGCGUGCGGGAUGACGGCCUUCGGGUUGUAAACCGCUUUCGCCUGUGACGAAGCGUGAGUGACGGUAAUGGGUAAAGAAGCACCGGCUAACUACG